UACGAAGGGGGCUAGCGUUGCUCGGAAUUACUGGGCGUAAAGCGCACGUAGGCGGUCUUUUAAGUCGGGGGUGAAAUCCUGGAGCUCAACUCCAGAACUGCCUUCGAUACUGGAAGACUUGAGUCCGGGAGAGGUGAGUGGAACUGCGAGUGUAGAGGUGAAAUUCGUAGAUAUUCGCAAGAACACCAGUGGCGAAGGCGGCUCACUGGCCCGGAACUGACGCUGAGACGCGAAAGCGUGGGGAGCAAACAGG
rnacentral:rRNA from 1 species